rnacentral:rRNA from 1 species
UUGAACGCUGGCGGCAGGCUUAACACAUGCAAGUCGAGCGGCAGCGCGGGGCAACCCGGCGGCGAGCGGCGAACGGGUGAGUAACGCGUAGGGAUCUACCCAGUAGCGGGGGAUAGCCCGGGGAAACUCGGAUUAAUACCGCAUACGCCCUAAGGGGGAAAGCAGGGGAUCUUCGGACCUUGCACUAUUGGAAGAGCCUGCGUUGGAUUAGCUAGUUGGUAGGGUAAAGGCCUACCAAGGCGACGAUCCAUAGCUGGUCUGAGAGGAUGAUCAGCCACACCGGAACUGAGACACGGUCCGGACUCCUACGGGAGGCAGCAGUGGGGAAUAUUGGACAAUGGGGGGAACCCUGAUCCAGCCAUGCCGCGUGUGUGAAGAAGGCCUUAUGGUUGUAAAGCACUUUAAGCGAGGAGGAGGCUACUGAGACAAAUACUCUUGGAUAGUGGACGUUACUCGCAGAAUAAGCACCGGCUAACUCUGUGCCAGCAGCCGCCGUAAAAC